CCUACGGGUGGCAGCAGUGAGGAAUAUUGGGCAAUGGGCGUAAGCCUGAACCAGCCAAGUCGCGUGAGGGAUGAAGGUUCUAUGGAUCUAAAACCUCUUUUAUAAGGGAAUAAAGUGCGGGACGUGUCCCGUUUUGUAUGUACCUUAUGAAUAAGGAUCGGCUAACUCCGUGCCAGCAGCCGCGGUAAUACGGAGGAUCCGAGCGUUAUCCGGAUUUAUUGGGUUUAAAGGGUGCGUAGGCGGCAUUUUAAGUCAGCGGUGAAAGUCUGUGGCUCAACCAUAGAAUUGCCGUUGAAACUGGGAGUCUUGAGUAUGUGUGAGGCAGGCGGAAUGCGUGGUGUAGCGGUGAAAUGCUUAGAUAUACCGCAGAACCCCGAUUGCGAAGGCAGACUGCCAAGCAAUGACUGACGCUGAUGCACGAAAGCGUGGGGAUCAAACAGGAUUAGAUACCCUUGUAGUC
rnacentral:rRNA from 1 species